rnacentral:tRNA from 1 species
UCCCUGGUAGUCCAGUGGUUAGGACUCUGCACUUUCACUGCUGAGGACUCAGAUUCAAUCCCUGGUCAGGGAA